UCGGCAUUCCUCCAUAUAUUCUUGAAAAAAAUACACUUCUUCCAUUUCUUUCCUUCAAGAAUUGAAGUGGUUCCUUCCAACUUAAAGAGGAGGAUUUGAACAAUUCAGGUUUAGAGUAAUUGAGGACAAUAACCUUUCAAGUUCUUUUGCAGAUACAUCUUGCAUGGCAUUCGGUGCAUGAGAGCGAUUCAUCCUUUAGAGCUUUGGAGAUUUAUUUUGUUAGAAAAUCUAGAAGUUGUAUCUAGACAAUGGU